GGUUGACCUCGGAUCAGGUAGGGAUACCCGCUGAACUUAAGCAUAUCAAUAAGCGGAGGAAAAGAAACCAACAGGGAUUGCCUCAGUAACGGCGAGUGAAGCGGCAAGAGCUCAAAUUUGAAAGCUGGCUCCUUCGGGGUCCGCAUUGUAAUUUGCAGAGGAUGCUUCGGGCAUGGCCCCCGUCUAAGUGCCCUGGAAGGGGCCGUCAUAGAGGGUGAGAAUCCCGUCUGGGACGGGGUGUCCGUGUCCGUGUGAAGCUCCUUCGACGAGUCGAGUUGUUUGGGAAUGCAGCUCUAAAUGGGUGGUAAAUUUCAUCUAAAGCUAAAUACUGGCCGGAGACCGAUAGCGCACAAGUAGAGUGAUCGAAAGAUGAAAAGCACUUUGAAAAGAGAGUUAAACAGCACGUGAAAUUGUUGAAAGGGAAGCGUUUGCGACCAGACUCGCUCGCGGGGUUCAGCCGGCAUUCGUGCCGGUGUACUUCCCCGUGGGCGGGCCAGCGUCGGUUUGGGCGGCCGGUCAAAGGCCUCCGGAAUGUAUCACCUCUCGGGGUGUCUUAUAGCCGGGGGUGCAAUGCGGCCUGCCUGGACCGAGGAACGCGCUUCGGCUCGGACGCUGGCGUAAUGGUCGUAAAUGACC
rnacentral:rRNA from 1 species